ACAGCAGUCGCCACGGUAAUACGUAGGGUGCAAGCGUUAAUCGGAAUUACUGGGCGUAAAGCGUGCGCAGGCGGUUAUAUAAGACAGAUGUGAAAUCCCCGGGCUCAACCUGGGAACUGCAUUUGUGACUGUAUAGCUAGAGUACGGCAGAGGGGGAUGGAAUUCCGCGUGUAGCAGUGAAAUGCGUAGAUAUGCGGAGGAACACCGAUGGCGAAGGCAAUCCCCUGGGCCUGUACUGACGCUCAUGCACGAAAGCGUGGGGAGCAAACAGGAUUAGAUACCCCUGUAGUCCCUGUCUCUUAUAC
rnacentral:rRNA from 1 species